rnacentral:misc_RNA from 1 species
UUUCCGUAGGUGAACCUGCGGAAGGAUCAUUAAUGAGUUUGCAUGGGUUUCCAUGCUCGCAGCCAAUUUUUGCAUAUAUGUACUUGCCCUAACAAUCAUCUUCCCAACACCUGUGCACAUUUUUGAGGGUGUAUUGAGUUGUUUCCCGCUCUUGGGUGAUUUUCUCUCAUUCCCUUAAAUCAUUAUACACUAUUAACAAUAUUGAAAGUGAUCUGUGCCGAAAGGAUAUUAAUAUAAUACAACUUUUAACAACGGAUCUCUUGGUUCUC